rnacentral:rRNA from 1 species
UAGGGAAUCUUCCGCAAUGGACGCAAGUCUGACGGAGCAACGCCGCGUGAGUGAAGAAGGAUUUCGGUUCGUAAAACUCUGUUGUUUGAGAAGAACAGCGCAUAGAGUAACUGUUAUGCGUGUGACGGUAUCUAACCAGAAAGCCACGGCUAACUACGUGCCAGCAGCCGCGGUAAUACGUAGGUCCCGAGCGUUGUCCGGAUUUAUUGGGCGUAAAGCGAGCGCAGGCGGUUAGAUAAGUCUGAAGUUAAAGGCAGUGGCUCAACCAUUGUAGGCUUUGGAAACUGUUUAACUUGAGUGCAGAAGGGGAGAGUGGAAUUCCAUGUGUAGCGGUGAAAUGCGUAGAUAUAUGGAGGAACACCGGUGGCGAAAGCGGCUCUCUGGUCUGUAACUGACGCUGAGGCUCGAAAGCGUGGGGAGCGAACAGG